rnacentral:rRNA from 1 species
AAAUUCCUACGGGGGGCAGCAGUGGGGAAUAUUGCACAACGGGGGAAACCCUGAUGCAGCGACGCCGCGUGAGUGAAGAAGUAUUUCGGUAUGUAAAGCUCUCUCAGCAGGGACGAAAAUGACGGUACCUGAGUAAGAAGCCCCGGCUAACUACGUGCCAGCAGCCGCGGUAAUACGUAGGGGGCAAGCGUUAUCCGGAUUUACUGGGUGUAAAGGGAGCGUAGACGGUCAUGCAAGUCUGGAGUGAAAGGCGGGGGCUCAACCCCCGGACUGCUCUGGAAACUGUAGAACUAGAGUGCAGGAGG